GAACUGCUGAGGAGUCCCAUACUAGGACGAAACGAUCAUCCAGUGC
rnacentral:hammerhead_ribozyme from 1 species